rnacentral:lncRNA from 1 species
GCUAAGAUUUCGAAGUUCCCGAAGGGCCGAGCCGAUGCCUUCAAAACGUUCUACAAGCAAUGGCAAAGGACCCAAUGGAAUCUGGGGCUUCUGAUGAACGAAGCCUGGUUGUACAAACAUGGCUGUGAGUAUCUUUCUGUUUUUCAUUAUUUUUCCUCCUAUUUUCUGAAGCUUUCCAUGCCUUAACCCAUUUGUCCCUGUGCAGUGACUAUUUUCAAGCCCGAGGGCGUUGUCGACGCCUUCAUCCCUGCCACCGUCACCUCCGGGUUCAUCCGACCCCCAGUGACCGACGAUGCUCCUGAGGAGGAUACGGUCCCGAUCAGCGAACUGUCGCUGGGGUCCACUUCGGGGCUCGAGCCCCCGACCACACAAAGGGGGGCGCUGAAGAUGAGCCGCGCGGAGAAGACUGCUUUACUAAAAAA